rnacentral:lncRNA from 1 species
UGCUUCAGUUAUUCCUAUUAAGAUAAUAAAAACACAAUAUUAUUUGAGAUACACAAUAUCAUAUAUUAUAAAGUAUAAAUAACUAAGAUGUAAAUGUAUUGAAAUUAUAAGAAUAUUUAUUGAUUUCCUCCACCCAACUCAGGCACAUAAAGCACAAGAAUGGAAUCCGUAGGUGACCAACUAAAGUCAACAACAUUUUCUAACUUCAUAGAUUUCUUGUCAAUAAGAUGAAAGUUUUCAGUUUCAUAAACAGACACAACAUUCUUUCAUAUUCUAGCAAAGAACUUAUCUUCUUUUUUACCACCCCACUUGAAAGUAAAAAUGUUUCAACAUAUUAAACAUCAAAACGAGACAAAGAGAAACAUUGGGAACAAACACAACAAUAUGAAGCCUUACCUUCCAUCCAUUCACCAUCACAGUUAGAUCCCAUCUAAGAAUUUAAAUAGGUACAACAAUGAGCCCUUAAAUAUGGAUAAUGCAAACACAACAUUGGGAACAACAAUAAGAUGAGGACCAAAAUAUGGAUAAUGCAAUCGUAGAUGGGAUCGCUAUUUGACAUGCACUUCGUAGGCUAUGGUGAUCCCGCCUCGUUGCGAUUGGCAGACCAAUGAAUGGCUAAACAGAUAAUGAAAAGAAAAAUGA